rnacentral:rRNA from 1 species
UACGGGGGGGGCUAGCGUUGUUCGGAAUUACUGGGCGUAAAGGGCUCGUAGGUGGCCAACUAAGUCAUGCGUGAAAUCCCUCGGCUUAACCGGGGAACUGCGUCUGAUACUGGAUGGCUUGAAUCCGGGAGAGGGAUGCGGAAUUCCAGGUGUAGCGGUGAAAUGCGUAGAUAUCAGGAGGAACACCGAUGGCGAAGGCAGGUCUCUGGGCAUUAACUGACGCUGAGGAGCGAAAGCAUGGGGAGCGAACAGG